AUUGCUGAAAAUUGCAUCAUUUAGGCCAGAACUGAUUUGGAAAAUAGUCAAAGCUACUAUAGUCUGAUUUUUGCAAUGUGACUUAGGUUCAGCACAGCUCAGUGAUGGUUAAUAUAUAAAGUGAGGGUUCAGGGUAAAUUUCGAUGUGAGUAGGAGAAACGAAAGCAAUGCAGAAUAUAUGCAGUUCGGCUAUUUCAAACUUGAAUUUGAAAUUCACUUAGAAUUUGAAGUUUAGUGAAUAACUAUUUCUGCUAUAGAUUAACAAAAUGCUAAAAAAAAAAAUAUAUAUAUGUGUGUGUUUAUGUCUAAUAUACCUAUGGCUAUCGAAGAUAUAUGAAUAGACAUAGUUGUAUAGAGGUUUGUAUGGAAAUACCCCAACAUGUUAAAAUAUUUCCAAUAUUUGUGAAGAUACAAUAUUUGUAUAUUGCAACAAUCAAUGAACAUGCACUCAGCAUAAAAGGUCUAUUUUUUUUUUUUUUUUAUCAAAGUGUUACAAUCUGAACUGUUGUAUGUGAUUGUUCUGCUUUAGUCUAUUCUAGGUGGAGCAGUUAACUUGAAACUUC